GAUGAACGCUGGCGGCGUGCCUAAUACAUGCAAGUCGAGCGAACGGACGAGAAGCUUGCUUCUCUGAUGUUAGCGGCGGACGGGUGAGUAACACGUGGAUAACCUACCUAUAAGACUGGGAUAACUUCGGGAAACCGGAGCUAAUACCGGAUAAUAUUUUGAACCGCAUGGUUCAAAAGUGAAAGACGGUCUUGCUGUCACUUAUAGAUGGAUCCGCGCUGCAUUAGCUAGUUGGUAAGGUAACGGCUUACCAAGGCAACGAUGCAUAGCCGACCUGAGAGGGUGAUCGGCCACACUGGAACUGAGACACGGUCCAGACUCCUACGGGAGGCAGCAGUAGGGAAUCUUCCGCAAUGGGCGAAAGCCUGACGGAGCAACGCCGCGUGAGUGAUGAAGGUCUUCGGAUCGUAAAACUCUGUUAUUAGGGAAGAACAUAUGUGUAAGUAACUGUGCACAUCUUGACGGUACCUAAUCAGAAAGCCACGGCUAACUACGUGCCAGCAGCCGCGGUAAUACGUAGGUGGCAAGCGUUAUCCGGAAUUAUUGGGCGUAAAGCGCGCGUAGGCGGUUUUUUAAGUCUGAUGUGAAAGCCCACGGCUCAACCGUGGAGGGUCAUUGGAAACUGGAAAACUUGAGUGCAGAAGAGGAAAGUGGAAUUCCAUGUGUAGCGGUGAAAUGCGCAGAGAUAUGGAGGAACACCAGUGGCGAAGGCGACUUUCUGGUCUGUAACUGACGCUGAUGUGCGAAAGCGUGGGGAUCAAACAGGAUUAGAUACCCUGGUAGUCCCCCCCUAAACGAUGAGUGCUAAGUGUUAGGGGGUUUCCGCCCCUUAGUGCUGCAGCUAACGCAUUAAGCACUCCGCCUGGGGAGUACGACCGCAAGGUUGAAACUCAAAGGAAUUGACGGGGACCCGCACAAGCGGUGGAGCAUGUGGUUUAAUUCGAAGCAACGCGAAGAACCUUACCAAAUCUUGACAUCCUUUGACAACUCUAGAGAUAGAGCUUUCCCCUUCGGGGGACAAAGUGACAGGUGGUGCAUGGUUGUCGUCAGCUCGUGUCGCGAGAUGUUGGGUUAAGUCCCGCAACGAGCGCAACCCUUAAGCUUAGUUGCCAUCAUUAAGUUGGGCACUCUAAGUUGACUGCCGGUGACAAACCGGAGGAAGGUGGGGAUGACGUCAAAUCCUCAUGCCCCUUAUGAUUUGGGCUACACACGUGCUACAAUGGACAAUACAAAGGGCAGCGAAACCGUGAGGUCAAGCAAAUCCCAUAAAGUUGUUCUCAGUUCGGAUUGUAGUCUGCAACUCGACUACAUGAAGCUGGAAUCGCUAGUAAUCGUAGAUCAGCAUGCUACGGUGAAUACGUUCCCGGGUCU
rnacentral:rRNA from 1 species